rnacentral:rRNA from 1 species
UACGUAGGGUGCAAGCGUUGUCCGGAAUUAUUGGGCGUAAAGAGCUCGUAGGCGGUUCGUCGCGUCGGCUGUGAAAACCUGAGGCUCAACCUCAGGCCUGCAGUCGAUACGGGCGGACUUGAGUACUGCAGGGGAGACUGGAAUUCCUGGUGUAGCGGUGAAAUGCGCAGUUAUCAGGAGGAACACCGGUGGCGAAGGCGGGUCUCUGGGCAGUAACUGACGCUGAGGAGCGAAAGCGUGGGGAGCGAACAGG